rnacentral:rRNA from 1 species
UGGGGAAUAUUGCACAAUGGACGAAAGUCUGAUGCAGCCAUGCCGCGUGAGUGAUGAAGGCCUUCGGGUUGUAAAGCUCUUUUGGCGGGGACGAUAAUGACGGUACCCGCAGAAUAAGCCCCGGCUAACUUCGUGCCAGCAGCCGCGGUAAUACGAAGGGGGCGAGCAUUGUUCGGAAUUACUGGGCGUAAAGGGUGCGUAGGCGGAUCGAUCAGUCAGAUGUGAAAGCCCAAGGCUCAACCUUGGAAUUGCAUUUGAUACUGUCAGUCUGGAGUAUUGGAGAGGAGCGUGGAAUUCUCAGUGUAGAGGUGAAAUUCGUAGAUAUUGAGAGGAACACCAGUGGCGUAGGCGACGCUCUGGCCAAAUACUGACGCUGAGGCACGAAAGUGUGGGGAGCAAACAGGAUUAGAUACCCUGGUAGUCCACACCGUAAACGAUGUGUGCUAGUCGUUGGGCAUAAGCUCAGUGACGCAGCUAACGCUUGAAGCACACCSCCUGGGGAGUACGGUCGCAAGAUUA